rnacentral:sRNA from 1 species
AAAUGUGAGGUGCAACAUCUGUCACCCCAUUGAUUAGCAGAUUUCAUUUGGUUGAUCUGUCUGGCUAGGUGGGUGUCCUCCUUCCUCAUCAUUCCAUGAUGCUUCUCUUUCCUAAAUCUGUGCUGGGUGGGACAGGAUAAUCAUCCCAGAUAGGCAUGUGGCAUCUUCAGCCAAUAAAUAAGGAAGGAGAAGGCUAGAAACAUGGAGACUGGCCCUCAU